UGGGGAAUUUUGGACAAUGGGCGAAAGCCUGAUCCAGCAAUGCCGCGUGUGUGAAGAAGGCCUUCGGGUUGUAAAGCACUUUUGUCCGGAAAGAAAUCCUUGGCUCUAAUACAGUCGGGGGAUGACGGUACCGGAAGAAUAAGCACCGGCUAACUACGUGCCAGCAGCCGCGGUAAUACGUAGGGUGCAAGCGUUAAUCGGAAUUACUGGGCGUAAAGCUGCGCAGGCGGUUUGCUAAGACCGAUGUGAAAUCCCCGGGCUCAACCUGGGAACUGCAUUGGUGACUGGCAGGCUAGAGUAUGGCAGAGGGGGGUAGAAUUCCACGUGUAGCAGUGAAAUGCGUAGAGAUGUGGAGGAAUACCGAUGGCGAAGGCAGCCCCCUGGGCCAAAUACUGACGCUCAUGCACGAAAGCGUGGGGAGCAAACAGGAUUAGAUACCCUGGUAGUCCACGCCCUAAACGAUGUCAACUAGUUGUUGGGGGAUUCAUUUCCUAGUAACGUAGCUAACGCGUGAAGUUGACCGCCUGGGGAGUACGGUCGCAAGAUU
rnacentral:rRNA from 1 species